UUUUCCUUUUUUUUCUUAAAAUUUUCCAUUUUAAAUUGGUUAUUUCUGAUUUAUAUAUAAAAGCAAAUAAUAAUGAUAUGGUUUGAAUAGCAUACAUGUGAACCUCCCGACAGGAGUACAAUAAUCCUGUUUUCAGGAGUCUCCUCCCGACCUCCGGUUGAAGAGGAAAAUUAUAAUCCCGUGUAUGAAAUUUUUCAUGAAUGAAAAAUUUCUGCCCAACAUAUCAUCUCAGGCAUCUGGUGUAACUCACAUUACCUGAAGUUAUAUUUUACCUGUAAAUCAAUUAACAUGCAUAAUUAUAUGGCUUCACUUGUCAGCUUGGGUGUCAAACAUACUGGUAAUCAACGAUUUUUACCUCAGACUAACUGCCGUUGUGUAACAAAAACUGUGUAUUUAUUGGGUUACUUCCCUUGAUUUAUCCUGUUUUAAGUUACUUUCCUUUUAAUAAUGAAAAUUUUUAAAAGAAUAUAAAUAAAAUAUAAAUUGAACAAAUAAUCAUAAAAGGAUGGUUAUUAAAUGAUUUUAAAUGUCUUAGGACAAAUAAAAAAAUAAUAAUUUGAAAAUUAUUUGAGGAUUCUAGACUUCCUUUCAAGGCUUAAAUUGAAAUUUAUAUAAUAACUAUGACCCCAAUUUUACAGAUAAAAUGAUUUACUGAGUUUGCAAAUAAAAACUAUUUGCAAGAGAAAAAAAAAAAAUAAAAA